GAUGGAAUUAGUGCCUUUAUAAGAAGAGACACCAGAGAGCUUGCUCACACUCUCCCUUUCGGGGAGAUACUACCAUUACAUUGUUGGGUUGAGACUGGAAGUCAUCCAGCCAAAAGGUCAAAGUGGCAUGGCCCAGAGAGAUAAAGACCUGUCACUUGCAAGUGGAUAUUUGGACACGAUGAGAAGAGAGACAUGUGAGGGCACAAGGGGGAGUAUCUACACCUGUGCUGUGCCCUGUCCCCCAGCGCUGGCUUUCUGUUGGAGUAACACAAUGGGAAAGUGUGUUAAUUUCCAGUGUUUCACUCUCACCUCCUCCUUGUACCCCCAUCUGGGUGAUUUUUGAAGCAUGUAUCCAAAUACAGCCUCCCUCAACUUAGGUCUCAGCAUGGCACUGAUGAACAGAUGUGAUAGAGGGAGAUCUGAUCGUGACCCCGAGGGCAGCUCACUCACGUGCAUGAGCCAAGCUGAGGGCCCAGAGCCGGAGGUAAGAGGCUGUGUUUGAAAUGCAGCCCAGGCAGUACUCGAUUGUGUGGAUGGCUUGAUGCACAAAGAUGUCUCCAAAGUUGAACUGAAAGAGAGAAUUUUUUAUUCUAUUUCAUUAAGUAUUUCCUCCAUGAAAGGUCUUACUAAUGAUACACCGAUGAAUAAAACAUGUGCUCCACUCUUAAGGCACUUCCAGUCGAACUAGGGGAAAACAAAUAUUAAUAUGCUCGUAGAGAGAGAGUUAGCAGCGCAAAGUAGGGUACAGUGUGUGUGCAGGAACAUUUCCCAGAAGUAGCUGAAAGAAGUUCAAAGAAGAAGAGAGACCGGUCGGUAAGGUGUCACAGGAGGUGAGGUCUGUGCUGGGCCGGGAAGGCUGGGGAGGCAUCUGGAAGUAAAAGAUAAGCAAGAUCAUUCCUGGUGAAGAAAAUGACUCCCGGUGAGGAAAAGGUGGGUGCUUGGGAACAUCAGGAAGGCAAGUUCUGGGCGGGAAACAAUUUGGCUGGAAGUAGGUGCUUGUUUGGUGAGGACUAGAAAGGAGCCCCCAGGUGCUGAAGUUUCAGUAAAGAACAGAGUUGGGAAAAUAAGUUGGAAUCAAUGAGCAACCAUAAACAGCAUCUGAAUGAAAAGUGGCCGGGGUGGGGAGGGGGAAUAAAGAAGUCUUGGGGGGAUGAUUAAUCUGGUGACAAAAUGGACUAGCAAAGGCAGAGCCUUAUAAGCAAAAAAGCCUGUUUGUUGACUAGCUCACUAAUCUAGAGAUGAAGGGGAAGAAACAGCACGCACACAGCAAGAGCAUGCUGUUCCCUUCAGGCACUCUGAUGCUGUCGGGGGAACAGUGUGACUGGCACCAUCCUGGCCCUCAGGUGGCUCGCAGCGUGGUGGGGACAGGGUGCUUGGAAAAGUGCAAUAAUCAAGACUCAGCAGUACUGUGGGAAUGCAGAAAAAGGGCCUCUGACCCAGCAGGGGCCAGGGUCAUACAGGGCUCUGAGGGUCUUGAGUCCGAGGGGCUAAAAGAAUGGCAUUGACAGAAAUGGAUACAUUGGAGAAGGACAUUAGUGAUAGGUUCAGGUGUGUUGUGUCUUAGGUGACAGCUGGCCACACAAGUAGAAUCUCUCAGCACACAGUGACAGAGGAAGAACAGGUUCAGAAGAACAGUCCGGGCUGGAAGUGAACACCUAGGACUCACCUGUGGGAGGUAAGGGGACCAGGAAGACACACGAGGGAAAGAUCACAGAGCUCCCAGCCUGGGAAAAGUUCAUCUGGAGGUGAGAAAGAAAGACAUGGAUGAUGGAAAGAAGAGGUCAGAGUCCCAGAAGGAGUCACAGGGCUGCGGCCAAGGAUAGAGAAAUACCGAGGAAGGCAUGGAGGGUGCGGUCAACCAUGUCAGGAGCUCUGGAGAGGAGACAGGAGUCAAUGCCUCUGACUCAGCAAUGAAAACAGCUGGGAGGAGGUGAAGGGCAGGGAAGGGCAGAGAGGGGAGAGAGGCAAGGGAAUGGAGGAAUGAGUGGUGAAGAACGAACCCCACCCGAGGAGAGGGCUGGCUUUGUCCUGGCUCCAGGGAGGCAAUCUCUAAACUCCUGACGUCUCCCACCUGAAAGAACUGUCUGUGUUCUUCACGGUGAGCCCCUGGGACCACAUUGGAUGGUUCCUGUGGUUGGAGGGUUGAGACUGGGAGCCAUGUGUUACCAGCCCAGCCUCCAGGGAGAGGAUGGAGUUGGAGAGUGAGCACAACCACUGAGUUGCAUGCCUACGUAAUGAAACCCCAAUAGAGCUUUGGAUGCUGGAGCUCCGGUGAGCUUCCUGGGCUGGCAAUGCUGUGUGCACACCACCACAUGUUGAGGCCGGGAGACUAAUGUCUCUCUAAGGACACAGAAUUCUGGAAUUUGGAACCCUCCCAGUGUCAGAUUCUGUCUAUGCGCCUCUUCUUCCGGCUGCUUCUGAUCUGUAUAUUUGAGCUACAGUAAAAGCCUAACUGAGCGUUCUUACCCACAGUGAGUGAAUUUAAAUGAACGGCUCUUACCAGGGAUUUUUGAUGCUUGGCUCUAAGAAUAAACGGCUUAAUCAGAAGCAUCCAAGGCACAGAAAUCAAAGCCAUGAUAACAAAGAAACUUUGGACUUCUUGCUGUAAGAUUAAAAUGGUAAGAUCCUGUCAUUUUAAGGUGAUCACACAACAUACUUCAUAUGAUAAAAAUGGUAAACAUGGAUCAUUUUAGUUGUACCUAUUUUAAGAGAUCUAAAGCAUUUCAAUGAAUCCACUCACUUUUACAUCUUGGAGUAUUCCCA